GAGUUUGAUCCUGGCUCAGAGUGAACGCUGGCGGCGUGCCUAAUACAUGCAAGUCGAACGAUGAAGCUUCUAGCUUGCUAGAAGUGGAUUAGUGGCGCACGGGUGAGUAACGCAUAGGUCAUGUGCCUCUUAGUUUGGGAUAGCCAUUGGAAACGAUGAUUAAUACCAGAUACUCCCUACGGGGGAAAGAUUUAUCGCUAAGAGAUCAGCCUAUGUCCUAUCAGCUUGUUGGUAAGGUAAUGGCUUACCAAGGCUAUGACGGGUAUCCGGCCUGAGAGGGUGAACGGACACACUGGAACUGAGACACGGUCCAGACUCCUACGGGAGGCAGCAGUAGGGAAUAUUGCUCAAUGGGGGAAACCCUGAAGCAGCAACGCCGCGUGGAGGAUGAAGGUUUUAGGAUUGUAAACUCCUUUUGUUAGAGAAGAUAAUGACGGUAUCUAACGAAUAAGCACCGGCUAACUCCGUGCCAGCAGCCGCGGUAAUACGGAGGGUGCAAGCGUUACUCGGAAUCACUGGGCGUAAAGAGCGCGUAGGCGGGAUAGUCAGUCAGGUGUGAAAUCCUAUGGCUUAACCAUAGAACUGCAUUUGAAACUACUAUUCUAGAGUGUGGGAGAGGUAGGUGGAAUUCUUGGUGUAGGGGUAAAAUCCGUAGAGAUCAAGAGGAAUACUCAUUGCGAAGGCGACCUGCUGGAACAUUACUGACGCUGAUUGCGCGAAAGCGUGGGGAGCAAACAGGAUUAGAUACCCUGGUAGUCCACGCCCUAAACGAUGGAUGCUAGUUGUUGGAGGGCUUAGUCUCUCCAGUAAUGCAGCUAACGCAUUAAGCAUCCCGCCUGGGGAGUACGGUCGCAAGAUUAAAACUCAAAGGAAUAGACGGGGACCCGCACAAGCGGUGGAGCAUGUGGUUUAAUUCGAAGAUACACGAAGAACCUUACCUAGGCUUGACAUUGAGAGAAUCCGCUAGAAAUAGUGGAGUGUCUGGCUUGCUAGACCUUGAAAACAGGUGCUGCACGGCUGUCGUCAGCUCGUGUCGUGAGAUGUUGGGUUAAGUCCCGCAACGAGCGCAACCCCCUUUCUUAGUUGCUAACAGGUCAUGCUGAGAACUCUAAGGAUACUGCCUCCGUAAGGAGGAGGAAGGUGGGGACGACGUCAAGUCAUCAUGGCCCUUACGCCUAGGGCUACACACGUGCUACAAUGGGGUGCACAAAGAGAAGCAAUACUGCGAAGUGGAGCCAAUCUUCAAAACGCCUCUCAGUUCGGAUUGUAGGCUGCAACUCGCCUGCAUGAAGCUGGAAUCGCUAGUAAUCGCAAAUCAGCCAUGUUGCGGUGAAUACGUUCCCGGGUCUUGUACUCACCGCCCGUCACACCAUGGGAGUUGUGUUUGCCUUAAGUCAGGAUGCUAAACCAGCUACUGCCCACGGCACACACAGCGACUGGGGUGAAGUCGUAACAAGGUAACCGUAGGUGAACCUGCGGUUGGAUCACCUCCUUUCUAGAGAAAAGCUUUUAACAUUCACUUGUUAAAAGCCAAAGAGUAUUACCUGACAAAAGGACUUCUUGUUGCUUAGUUUUGAAAGAUUGAACUUAUUCUUUCUUUUUUAAAUCUUGUUUUUAUUUGAUUUUUGCUUAAACUUUUUAAUUCUUGUUUGUUUUUAAUAUUUCUUGCUUAUUUGUAUUGGAUUUCUUAAAUCUUACUUCUUGUUUUUUUCCAUUCUUAUUUUUUACUUAUUGCGUUUUAAUUCUUAUGUUUAACUUUUUGUUUUUUACGCUUUAAUAUUAAAGUUUUAGUUUUGGUGUUUUGUUUCUUGUUUCUUUGUGUUCUUAAGGUUUUUUACUGCUUAUAAUCUUAGUUUGUUGUUUCACCUUGUCUUUUGCUUGCUUGAUUUUGGUUUCUUACUGCUUAUGGUUUUUACUUCUUGCUUUUUAUUUAGUUUGAUUUUGAUUUGAUUGUGUUUCGUGUUUGUGUUUUAUUUUUCUUAAAUCUCAUUUCUUUUGUUUGAGUGUUGGAUUUAGUGUUGGAUUUAGUGUUGGACUUUCUUAAUUCUUAUAUUUGGACUUUUUGCUUCUUGUUUCUUUGUGUUCUUAAGGUUUUUACUGCUUGUGGUUUGUGGUUGUUGUAUUGGAGUUUUACUUGUUACUUCUUGGGUUUUAAUUUCUUAUUCCUUACUUAUUGCGUUUUAAUUCUUAUGUUUUAAUGUUUGGUUUCAUGUUUUUAGUUUUUCUUGCUUCUUAAUGUUUAGUGGGUUUGUUAUUUUUAAGGGGGUUUAGUGGGGUUUGGUCGUUGGGUUUUAUUUUCUUAAGCCUUAUCUUUAUCUCAUGAUUGCAAUUCUUGCUU
rnacentral:rRNA from 1 species